rnacentral:misc_RNA from 1 species
AAGUCGUAACAAGGUUUCCGUAGGUGAACCUGCGGAAGGAUCAUUACAAAAUAAAAAAGCUCCCCCCGCCGGCGAUUGCCGGAAGAGGGGUGCUUUAACGGUGAGGGGGUUUAUGCCCCCGAACUGUUGGACCCUUUGUGAAAACCCUCCGUUGCCUCGGCGGCACUCCCCUGCCGCGCGGCGCUCUACUGCGCUGCGCUGAAGGGGGACGGUCAGUCCGCCGGCGGCACCCAACCAAAACCCAUAACCAUUUUGAAGAAGCUGUCUGAAACCUAAAGUCGAAUGACUAUAAAACUUUCAACAACGGAUCUCUUGGUUCCC